CAGUCGACGCUUCUUUCCUCCCGAGUGCUUGCACUCAAUUGGAAAGAGGAGUGGCGGACGGGUGUGUAACACGUGGGUAACCUACCCAUCAGAGGGGGAUAACACUUGGAAACAGGUGCUAAUACCGCAUAACAGUUUAUGCCGCAUGGCAUAAGAGUGAAAGGCGCUUUCGGGUGUCGCUGAUGGAUGGACCCGCGGUGCAUUAGCUAGUUGGUGAGGUAACGGCUCACCAAGGCCACGAUGCAUAGCCGACCUGAGAGGGUGAUCGGCCACACUGGGACUGAGACACGGCCCAGACUCCUACGGGAGGCAGCAGUAGGGAAUCUUCGGCAAUGGACGAAAGUCUGACCGAGCAACGCCGCGUGAGUGAAGAAGGUUUUCGGAUCGUAAAACUCUGUUGUUAGAGAAGAACAAGGACGUUAGUAACUGAACGUCCCCUGACGGUAUCUAACCAGAAAGCCACGGCUAACUACGUGCCAGCAGCCGCGGUAAUACGUAGGUGGCAAGCGUUGUCCGGAUUUAUUGGGCGUAAAGCG
rnacentral:rRNA from 1 species